AUGGGUGACCUCCCGGGAAG
rnacentral:snRNA from 1 species